AACGAACGUUGGCGGCGUGGAUUAGGCAUGCAAGUCGAACGCGAAUCCCUGGGCAACUGGGGAGGAGAGUGGCGAAAGGGGCAGUAAGGCGUGGGUAACCUACCCUCCGGGCCGGGAUAGCUUCGGGAAACUGAAGGUAAUACCGGGCGACGCAGCGAGAUCGCAUGGUCUUGCUGCCAAAGGUCCGCCGCCGGGGGAGGGGCUCACGUGGUAUUAGCUAGACGGCGGGGUAACGGCCCACCGUGGCAAAGAUGCCUAGCAGGUGUGAGAGCACGACCUGGGCCACUGGCACUGAGACACUGGCCAGACACCUACGGGUGGCUGCAGUCGAGGAUCUUCGGCAAUGGGCGCAAGCCUGACCGGGCGACGCCGCGUGUGCGAUGAAGGCCUUCGGGUUGUAAAGCACUGUCGAGGGGGAGGAAGCCGCAAGGUUGACCUAUCCCUGGAGGAAGCACGGGCUAAGUUCGUG
rnacentral:rRNA from 1 species